rnacentral:rRNA from 1 species
AUUGAACGCUGGCGGCAGGCCUAACACAUGCAAGUCGAACGGUAACAGAAAGCAGCUUGCUGCUUUGCUGACGAGUGGCGGACGGGUGAGUAAUGUCUGGGAAACUGCCUGAUGGAGGGGGAUAACUACUGGAAACGGUAGCUAAUACCGCAUAACGUCGCAAGACCAAAGAGGGGGACCUUCGGGCCUCUUGCCAUCGGAUGUGCCCAGAUGGGAUUAGCUUGUUGGUGGGGUAACGGCUCACCAAGGCGACGAUCCCUAGCUGGUCUGAGAGGAUGACCAGCCACACUGGAACUGAGACACGGUCCAGACUCCUACGGGAGGCAGCAGUGGGGAAUAUUGCACAAUGGGCGCAAGCCUGAUGCAGCCAUGCCGCGUGUAUGAAGAAGGCCUUCGGGUUGUAAAAUACUUUCAGCGGGGAGGAAGGGAGUAAAGUUAAUACCUUUGCUCAUUGACGUUACCCGCAGAAGAAGCACCGGCUAACUCCGUG